CGGGACGGGUGAGUAAUGUCUGGGAAACUGCCUGAUGGAGGGGGAUAACUACUGGAAACGGUAGCUAAUACUGCAUAACGUCGCAAGACCAAAGAGGGGGACCUUCGGGCCUCUUGCCAUCGGAUGUGCCCAGAUGGGAUUAGCUAGUAGGUGGGGUAAAGGCUCACCUAGGCGACGAUCCCUAGCUGGUCUGAGAGGAUGACCAGCCACACUGGAACUGAGACACGGUCCAG
rnacentral:rRNA from 1 species